rnacentral:lncRNA from 1 species
AUUUCCCAGUUUUCUAAAAUUCUCCUUUUCCAUUUCUUUUUCCUCAGACAGCUAGUAUCUCUCUGAUUUUACCUGAAACUUUUAUGUGCCCAGAUAAGCAGCAGAGGGAUUGUGAAGUUCACCCCAUCCUCUCGUGUCUUAGGAUCAGAUCUCUUCCCGUGGAAGCUGUUAGUUAAUGAGUUCAGGAGGAUGUUGAAUUGUUUCUUAUUUAUA